rnacentral:misc_RNA from 1 species
AAGUCGUAACAAGGUUUCCGUAGGUGAACCUGCGGAAGGAUCAUUAACACGUAUCCACGUAUCAACCAACUGUGAACUUGUUUUCAAUUCUCCCUGAUUGUUUCACGACAUCAGGCAAACACCCAAUCAUAAACCUAUAUCACAACCUUUUUUGCUAGUUGACUUUUAUAUGUUGUUUGUCUUUCGUACUUCAUUGUACUGAAGCCUCACACACGUUGAUUUAUUUGAACGUUAAAAUUACAACUCUUAGCAAUGGAUAUCUUGGUUCUC